rnacentral:rRNA from 1 species
GAUGAACGCUGGCGGCGUGCUUAACACAUGCAAGUCGAGCGGGCAAUUUAUCUAGCACUGAUUACUUCAAAUGGCUAUCGCCAGUGUAAUCAUGAAUUUCUACCUUAUUAAUAAAGAAAAAAGAAAUUCAUGUACGCAAAUAGUGAUAACACAUUUUAGUGAAGUGAUGAGUGCUGGAUAAAUUGCUAGCGGCGGACGGGUGCGUAACACGUGGGUAACCUGCCCCUAUCACUGGGAUAACACACUGAAAAGUGUGCUAAUACCAGAUAAUAUAAGCUUUUGGCAUCAUUAGCUUAUCAAAGAAUUUCGGAUAGGGAUGGGCCCGCGUCUGAUUAGCUAGUUGGUGAGGUAACGGCUCACCAAGGCAACGAUCAGUAGCCGACCUGAGAGGGUGAUCGGCCACACUGGAACUGAGACACGGUCCAGACUCCUACGGGAGGCAGCAGUGGGGAAUAUUGCACA